rnacentral:rRNA from 1 species
ACCAGACUCCUACGGGAGGCAGCAGUGGGGAAUAUUGCACAAUGGGGGAAACCCUGAUGCAGCAACGCCGCGUGAGUGAAGAAGUAUUUCGGUAUGUAAAGCUCUAUCAGCAGGGAAGAAGAAGGACGGUACCUGACUAAGAAGCCCCGGCUAACUACGUGCCAGCAGCCGCGGUAAUACGUAGGGGGCGAGCGUUAUCCGGAUUUACUGGGUGUAAAGGGAGCGUAGACGGUUUUUCAAGUCUGAAGUGAAAGCCCGCGGCUCAACUGCGGAACGGCUUUGGAAACUGAGGGACUAGAGUGCUGGAGGGGCAGGCGGAAUUCCUGGUGUAGCGGUGAAAUGCGUAGAUAUCAGGAGGAACACCGGUGGCGAAGGCGGCCCGCUGGACAGUAACUGACGUUGAGGCUCGAAAGCGUGGGGAGCAAACAGGAUUAGAUACCCCCGUA